rnacentral:lncRNA from 1 species
UUGGACGUAUAAGCUCGGCCAUACUACCAUCAAUCACAAUGAAGUUUUUGGUUCCAUUGGUUUUAACUCCGGUAACUCUGUUAACCAAGCAGCAUGUGUUUGCAAUUAGUGAUCUUCCAGGUUCAAUAAUCAGAUUGAGGUUUCGAGAAAGGACCAAUUCUCGUACCUGCAAUACACAUGAUAGGAAGUGUCAGCUAAACCACAGGUGAGGUCCACAGUUUGAGCAAUAACUUUAAUUUUAUUCAAAAUUCAAAAAUUCUAGCACGCUACCCUUCAAGUAAGGGAACCCCCUUUGACCUUCUCUCGAAUGACCUUAUUUCUAAUCCAAUCUGCUCUGGUAAGUCUACAUAUCCAUCUCAGCAGGGGCGGAGCUACCCUUCAAGUAGGGGAACCCCCUUCAUCGAAAAAUUAUGCUAUAUAUACAUAGUUAAAAUUAUUUAUUAUGUAUAUAGUAGAUGUUGAACCCCCUCCGGUUAGUUCGUAUGUUCACUAAUGAACUCCCUUAGUGAAAAUCCUGGCUCCGCCAUUGCAUUUCAGCAUCCUUAUCUUAGUCACCUUCAACUUCUCAAUGUGAGAGUUCUUAACUGGCUAACACUCUACUUCAUAUAAUAUAAUUGUAAUCUAUUUAAUUUUUUAAAAUGAAUUGAAGUGCUUUAACCAAUUAAUUAAAGUAUUUCUAUUGCGAUGAGGCGUAAUUAAUUGAAGUAAUUUUAUUAUGCAAUAUGCACAUAGAUUUGUGCUAUAUAUAACAGUAACAUAUUAUAACUUUUAAAAUAAAUUAAAAUUUUUUGGCCGACUACUUAAAAUAAUCCUAUUGGAAUGACGCGAAAUUAAUUGAUCGAUUAAUUACAAUAUUAUUGCGAUGAUGCAUGUUUUUAAAAAAAAAAUUUUAAAAAUGGGGGUAGUGGAAUGGGGAUGGGGGAGGGGAUUACAAUGUGGGGAAUCGAACCCUCACCAACCAAGUGAGAGUUCAGGUAACUAACCAACUAAGCUACUAAGAUUUUCCAUGAUGCAUGGUUAAUUGGUCAAUUAUUUAAUGUAAUUCUGCAAUAUGUACAUGUGAUUUCUCUACUACAUAACAAUGAUAUAUUUUAUUUUUUUAAAAUAAAUUGAAGCACUUUGACCGAUUAAUUAAAGUAAUCAUGUUGCAAUGAGACCCAAUUAAUUAACUGGUUAAUUGAAAUUAUCCUAUUAUGCAAUUAGUGAUCUUCCAGGUUCAAUAAUCAGAUUGAGGUUUCGAGGAUUAUAGUUAUAGAUUAUAGAUUAUAGAUGAUGAGGCGUAGUUAAUUGAUCGAUUAUUUAAAGUAAUUCUAUUAUGCAAUAUGUAUAUGUGAUUUAUUUAAGACAUCAACAACAACAAUAACAUAUUCAAUACAAUCCUAUAAAGUGAAGUCUGGAGGGAGUAAAAGUGUACGCAGUUCAUACCACUACCUCAGUGGGAGUAGAGACUAUUUCCGACAAAUCCAUGGCUUAUGACAAAUAACAGUAUAACAAACAACAAACAUAAAAAUAACUACAAAAUGAGAUACCGCACCACUAGAUAAUAAAAAAAACAAGACACUGACAGAGUAAUAUUAUAAAUUAUCUAUUUGAGAUCACAACCUCAUCAGAACACUCCUCCAAACCUGGUCAUAUCUUUAGUAAGCUGUAACUGCUUCAUGUCAUGCCUAAUCACCUCCAUCCAAUAUUUCUUCGAUCUACCUCUACCCCGUCCAAAAUCAACCAUAACAAACCUAUCACACCUCUGCACCCGUGCACCCCCUCAUCACCAUUGAUUUGGAUUUGAUAAUGUGGACCUCUAAUUAAGAGGCUACAUGACAAAAAUAAUUUUGCAAAAAACAUUGUUACAAAAUAAUGGCAUGAAUGAAUCUUUCUAUACUGGUGACAGUGACACAAAAGAGCCGAACUUUCAAUGAUAGUGGCAUAAACAAGUCAAACUUAUAACGGAUAACAUAGAUGAACUAUUUCUAAUAGUUCGAUGACAUGUUUGAGCCUUUUCACUUAAUUCUAAGGUCAGUUUUUUUGGAGAAAAAGAAAAAAUUAAGGUCACUUUUAGUACUACAUUUAAUUUAGCAAAGGGCAAAUGAGAACCAAAUACAAGAAAGAAAUGGGUCUGUACCUUAAUCUUCUUCAUAGCAAAUUAUGCUAGUUUUUGUUUUAACAAAAAAGUUCACUCUACAAUGGAUAAGAUAUUAAAGUGAUCUUUCAAUGCGGAUUUAAUUGGACUCCAAUAUCAAUAUCGGACACCGGCUGCCAAAAAGAAGUGGGGAGUCCACAGGGAUUUGCAACAUUACACAUCCCACAUAACUACUGAAUCUAUAAGUUGGCUAUGGUAGUGAAAAUCCAUUAAUUGGAACAAUCCAAAUACAGAAUGUCAACUCAACAUUGACAGGAACCAAACUACCAGGGGAAUUUCUGAGUUUCACAUCCUGCCAUGUUAAAGUGCUUAAAAGAAACCAUAGUUUUACAGGCCAUCAAAGAAUCUCAAAUGGUCUUCGAAUGUCUCCCCAUGGCGGAUUUUGGACACUGAUCCAUCUUCUUCCACCUACAAACAGCAGCAUGCACAAUCCAAUUUCAGUUUUCAAAUAUUUUGUAGAUAUCAAUGCAUGCGUUGCAUGUGAAAUUACAUGUCAAGAGAGAAGAUGUUUGCUAAAUUAAAAAAACUACCAGAUUCAUAGUAUACUACAUUUGUGGUUACUUUGAUAACUUCAAGCUGCAAUCGAUAAAACCAUGGAUAGCGCUUGCAGCAUGAUUUAAGUGAAAAGUUGCAUUUGAAAAGAGCAGAUUUCUCUUGCAUAAAAAGAAAAGUUGCACUGACCAAGCAACAUUUAUAAAAACAGAAGAACUCGCAUUUAAGGGACAUUUUUCACCGUGUUUAGGAAAGUAAAAUGGCGUCUAAGUUAUAGAUGUUAUUAGAUUACUUAGCCAGUAACCACAAGGCUACUCUUACUCCUAAAAUACCAGUCAUAUGGCAGCUUGACUCUUAAUACUAGAUAGUGAAAAACACCAACUCUUUACUUUGGGCACAAAAUGCUGACAGGAAUACGAAGUCUGUUUCCAUCAUGACUAAGCUUGAGGAAACAUUAAGGGACGUAACCAAAACCACAAAGAAAUAUUAGGUGCAGAAUUUUUUAAUAAAAAGCUAAGACAAUAUACCCAAUACUCAGGUGGGCGCAUCUUGAGAUUGUAAGUUGAUGCCAUACUCAUGCAGUAAGCACCUGCAUCGUGAACUACCAAACCAGUGCCCUGAAUUCAAAUGCCAUAGUUAACAUCAGUAUAGAAUGUAUUCAAGAAACUCUCUAAUAAGAGGCUAGUUCUUGCCCUUUUAAUAGGCUAUGAGAGGUCAAAACAAAUUACCCUAGAAGGGGCGGGAAGUUCACGGUCCUUUCCCAGGAAAUCUGCAGACUCACAUACAGGACCAACUACAUCAAAUUUAGAAAUUGCAGCUUCCGUGGAUGCAGGUGAAACAAGCUCUAUGUGCUGCAAUCAAAAAUUAUUUACUCAGCAAGAGCACAGAGAAGAUCACAAAUCGACAAAAGGGUAAAUCAUAUAUGCAAUGUGCGAAUAAAGAGUGAGGUCCAAAUUGCAUGCUCAUAUAAUAAUAAGCACAAGCAGGUAGUGGCUACUUAAAAAAGUUGAACAACAUGAAUACCAACACGAAUGAAGCAUAACAUUUUUGGAGUAAACCCAUCACAAAAAUUCUGCAGUUCAAGCAUUUUUACUGUAACACGUUUUGAAAGCUGUAAAAUUGCUAAAUCUUCCCCAAGAAUAGGACAUCCUCAAAAAGGAGCAUGGGCCUCGCGGGGGGAUCUUCUUUUUUUGCUUUUUUUGAUGAAGUAAUAGUAAAUUUCAUUAGUGGCGUCAAGUAGAUGCAGAAAUCACAAAGGUUAAGGAAAUUACAUUCAGCUCUUCCAAAAUAAUGUGAAAGCAUAUCAUUUGACACCCAUUAAACGAAAUAUAUAGCACAUACAGAUCAAGGGACAGAGAGAGUGAGAGUCAACUCUGAUAGCUGCAAGAAAAUAUUUGGCAACCUCACCUGAUAGGCAUCAUAAAGACUUGGACGUAUAAGCUCGGCCAUACUACCAUCAAUCACAAUGAAGUUUUUGGUUCCAUUGGUUUUAACUCCGGUAACUCUGUUAACCAAGCAGCAUGUGUUUGCAAUUAGUGAUCUUCCAGGUUCAAUAAUCAGAUUGAGGUUUCGAGAAAGGACCAAUUCUCGUACCUGCAAUACACAUGAUAGGAAGUGUCAGCUAAACCACAGGUGAGGUCCACAGUUUGAGCAAUAACUUUAAUUUUAUUCAAAAUUCAAAAAUUCUAGCACGCUACCCUUCAAGUAAGGGAACCCCCUUUGACCUUCUCUCGAAUGACCUUAUUUCUAAUCCAAUCUGCUCUGGUAAGUCUACAUAUCCAUCUCAGCAGGGGCGGAGCUACCCUUCAAGUAGGGGAACCCCCUUCAUCGAAAAAUUAUGCUAUAUAUACAUAGUUAAAAUUAUUUAUUAUGUAUAUAGUAGAUGUUGAACCCCCUCCGGUUAGUUCGUAUGUUCACUAAUGAACUCCCUUAGUGAAAAUCCUGGCUCCGCCAUUGCAUUUCAGCAUCCUUAUCUUAGUCACCUUCAACUUCUCAAUGUGAGAGUUCUUAACUGGCUAACACUCUACUUCAUAUAAUAUAAUUGUAAUCUAUUUAAUUUUUUAAAAUGAAUUGAAGUGCUUUAACCAAUUAAUUAAAGUAUUUCUAUUGCGAUGAGGCGUAAUUAAUUGAAGUAAUUUUAUUAUGCAAUAUGCACAUAGAUUUGUGCUAUAUAUAACAGUAACAUAUUAUAACUUUUAAAAUAAAUUAAAAUUUUUUGGCCGACUACUUAAAAUAAUCCUAUUGGAAUGACGCGAAAUUAAUUGAUCGAUUAAUUACAAUAUUAUUGCGAUGAUGCAUGUUUUUAAAAAAAAAAUUUUAAAAAUGGGGGUAGUGGAAUGGGGAUGGGGGAGGGGAUUACAAUGUGGGGAAUCGAACCCUCACCAACCAAGUGAGAGUUCAGGUAACUAACCAACUAAGCUACUAAGAUUUUCCAUGAUGCAUGGUUAAUUGGUCAAUUAUUUAAUGUAAUUCUGCAAUAUGUACAUGUGAUUUCUCUACUACAUAACAAUGAUAUAUUUUAUUUUUUUAAAAUAAAUUGAAGCACUUUGACCGAUUAAUUAAAGUAAUCAUGUUGCAAUGAGACCCAAUUAAUUAACUGGUUAAUUGAAAUUAUCCUAUUAUGCAAUUAGUGAUCUUCCAGGUUCAAUAAUCAGAUUGAGGUUUCGAGAAAGGACCAAUUCUCGUACCUGCAAUACACAUGAUAGGAAGUGUCAGCUAAACCACAGGUGAGGUCCACAGUUUGAGCAAUAACUUUAAUUUUAUUCAAAAUUCAAAAAUUCUAGCACGCUGAUAUACCAUUACAGCCUUGCACUAUGUCAAUUACCAGUCAGUAGAGCUUUAAAUGCUAAAGCAAUCUAUCUCUCUCACCCACACUGCCCACUAUAAAUCGUAACAAUCAAGGUGGUUUCUGCCACCAGCCCCCUAAACUUCAGUUGAAAAUAAAAACUAAUACCCAGUAGCCACCUCAAAAUGACCAGUCUACAUGGGAUAAUAAAGAAAUACGUAUGUUAACAUAUACUGUUAGUCUCUUAGACUCACGAGUAUAGCAAAAAUUGUUUCAGGUAUGUUCCAAAGUCUUUGGGACAAGUGAAUUAGCAUCAAAGUGAAAUAAAGUCACUACUACUAAGAGCCAGACUUGGGGCAAAUCACUCUACAAAAAACAUCCCGGCACAUGUCAUAUAUCUUAUAUGAGAUAGACAAAUUUA